rnacentral:rRNA from 1 species
UACGUAGGGCGCAAGCGUUGUCCGGAAUUAUUGGGCGUAAAGAGCUCGUAGGCGGCCAGUUACGUCCGCUGUGAAAUCCCGGGGCUCAACCCCGGGCGUGCAGUGGAUACGGGCUGGCUGGAGGCAGGCAGGGGAGAACGGAAUUCCUGGUGUAGCGGUGAAAUGCGCAGAUAUCAGGAGGAUCACCGGUGGCGAAGGCGGUUCUCUGGGCCUGUUCUGACGCUGAGGAGCGAAAGCGUGGGGAGCGAGCAGG